rnacentral:lncRNA from 1 species
GCACUUAUCCCUUCCUCUUCCAUCGCUUUCUGCUGCCCCAAGCUGAUGCCAUUAAGAUGCAUGUCAAUAGCAUUGUCCUAUUACAGGAGUAGAAAUGUUUUCUAGCUAAUUAUCAAUCAUAUCCAAACAAUUUACCUAGAAAUUUACAUGGGAGAGCCUGGGAGUUUCUAACCAUGGUCAUCACUGCACUCUUAGAUUCAAAUGCAAAUGUGAAUGGUACAUGGUCUUGAGGGGGAACCU